rnacentral:lncRNA from 1 species
AUUCCCUGUUAUCUACACUGUGUGGAAGACAUCUUUUCAGAGUCUAUGCAUGGCUGAAGGGCACAGUUCCUGUAGCUGUUUACACUGGUGAGCCAGGUGGGUCUUCUCAGAGCCCUACCAACUGUCUUGGAGGAAUUCUAGUAUUGUAAUAACAGAACCUGGUUGCUGUACGUGUGUGUAUUUGUCACUGCUUGUGUGUGUGCACAGCAUUUCCCUCUGCUACCUUCUGCCCCUUCAUAAUUUGGUGUAUCUGGUUGGUCUUUCUUCCUAAAUUCAGGCCCAGAAAUAAAGGAAAAGAAUUUUCAGAAUGACAGUCCUUAUAACCAGAUGCUUAUCAGCAUCCUUCACAAUGUCCUGAAGAUAAAUUUUUACAAGGUGGAGUCACAGGAGAAAAUCCAAAGAGGAGUAAAAAAUAAUAAUGCUGAUGUCAUGUUAGAGUGGAGGCCCUGGACACUGUUGUGGACCCAGUCUCAAGUUUCUGCUACAGUUAGAAGAUGUGGAAGUGAUCAGGUGCAAAUCGAAUUUUUCACACAAGCGAAGCCCGAGUCAGCAUGGGGGGCGGUGGCGGAGGGGCAGGGAGAGACUGUCAUUGAUAGAGAGUUACUUAGGACACAGUCAGCAGGGCUGGGAUACAGCUACAGUUUUAUAUACAUUCAUGGGUAUAGAAAACAUGGACAUCAAGGCCUUUGUAGGAAAAAGUUUGGUCAUUACUGA